UAUAUAGUAUAUAAACAUAUAUUGUGACAUAUUUAUGCAUUUCAGUUCUCGAUUAUAUGUUUUGAAACUAUUUGCUAUUUUUUAAUAUCACUUCAUAUUAUUAUUUUUUUAAACAAUUUCUUGGUGAUUUCUUCCUCAGUAGUUCAACUGUCCUUUCACCCUUUUAUUUUUCUCUUUCAUAGAUACCAUGUUCUUUGGGGGCUUGUUAAGAAGUGGAGCUGACUAGGGGACGAGCAAUGGAUUUGGCCUCACUGGUUUUGGCAUAAGGCAAGACAUGCGUGUAGAAACGCCCAGCACACGGUUCGAUAUGGGACUAAAGGUGGACCAACUGGACAGAAAAUCAAAAUAAAGAAGGUGAAAUUCAGAAAGAUUGCACAAGAGAGCCAGUUUUCAGCUGCCACACAGAGGAAGACACAGCCAGUAAGUCCCGAAGAGUAGCAGCCAAUCAACAGAGAAACAGCCGCUUCUCCAGGGCUGUCAGUGACCUGAAGGGACUUGUCACUUUGAUCAUCAGCUGGUAUUUGGACUUCAAGGGCAAGUUUGCCCAUAUUUCCCCUUCUCUGAGCCACCUUGCUUCCCCCACACCCAGCCCUCUAUGUCCAAGUCCUAAGCAUGCUCCGGGGUCCUUCUCUGAUGCCGCCAUCUUCUCAGACCUGGCCGGCAUCUCCUCCUUCUCCAAAUCAUCAGAGCUUUUAUUUCCCUUCACCUCUCCUGUCAUUUUCUCUCUUGUGGUGCAGAUAUUUAUGUAGGUGUAUGUCCCACGUCCUGUACUCCUCUGUAUGCUUAAGCUCUUGGAGGAAUUAAGUCUCUCGGCACACAGUACGCAUCCAGGAUACCUGUUGAAUGAAUUAAUGGCUGCUCAGUGUCAAACACUAUUCUAGGUAUUGGGAAUACAGAGAUGAAUUACCUUUGCAUGAACCCCAUUUGCAGGGAAACCUGGUCUCCUAUGGGGAGACCCAUAAAAAAGAUGAUGGAAAAGUAGGAAUGUGUGUGGAACAGGGAGCUGGCCUAGAGGAAGACAUGGGCCAUGGGCCCCAUGGUCAGACAGGUCAGGAUUCAUGUCUUGGUUCUGCCACUUCACAGCGAUGUGGCAUGGGCCUCUGUGAGCCUCCGUGAAGGUAAAGCAGUGUCUACCCCACAGGGUUGCUGAUGUACAGAGGGCCCCUGCACGGGCGUGACACCGUGUAGUGACGUAAUAAAUGAAAGUUGUCUCCCUUCUGGGGGGAAGGGAAGCUGUGCAGUUGAGGGGCCAUCUGAGCGGAGCUUUGAAGAAGAAUUCUUCAGAUAAACAAAAGACAAGUACUUUGUAGGCAGAGGAAACUACAUGAAUAAGCAAAUUAAGCAAAUCGUUUGUCAUCAUCCAAAGAAAAGCUUUAAAAAAAGUUAACCUAGCCGACCCCCCCCACCCCCCAUGGAAUUUGUGGCCCUUAACAUGGACCCCGAAGCUUCCAGCAGGCCCAGGGCUCAGAUUUUGACUCAGAAAAGAAAUGCCCUUGAAGGAGGGAAGGGGAUGUCAAUAAUCAUGCAGUUUCCUGCUCAGUGCUGCACGGGCUUCGAUCUCAGCCUGGUGAGGACUGGCCGCAGCUAGGGCAGCAGGUAGGGAGGCAGCGGGCUUUCCCUGAAGCAGAAGUAAGCUGUUUCCUGAGGUGCCCAUCCACAGGAUACAAAGCAGCUGUAUUCAGAGGCGCCUCCCUCCACACUGCCUUGUCCUCAACAGAAACUUGUUUUGUUAGGGUGGAUUAGUCUCUUAGGUAAAUAUUUGGCAUUUCCUUUCACAUCAGUUUAUCAAGAGAUGCAGAUCCAGACAUUAAUUAUUCAGCCCCGCUCAGUCUCUUCCUCCCCCAGUGAGAACCGGUCCACAGCGUGUAAGAGGCACCCUCCGCUCUUGGAGAGGUCCAGAGAAGGGUGGCAGGUGGCCGUGGGAGAUGUGCUACGUAAGGCCUAGAGGCCCUGCUGCCAGGCUCUCAAUUAUGUGAACUGGGGAGUCACCAGCCCGCCUCCUCCAAGAGCUUGAGGGAUCGGCAAGACUUGGGAACAUUGUCACUCAACGUAAGAGGACAUGACUGUUUACUCCUGCAAGAGACCUGUGAAAAUCUGAUUUUUCUGCCUCUGCCAAAACCGUCGCCCUCUCCGUAACCCUGGUGCCUCCAAGUACAGCCUUUCAGAAAAGCCAGAAAGCAGAGGUAGAUAAGCAGCCAGAGAGAACUGAGUGGACAAUAACAGGAUUCGACGACUGACCUCAUUCACCAUUUCCUCCAGGACUGUCUUCUGCCAGCUCCCUGCCGACCUUCUGCCCUCUGCCCUGCCCACUGUCCUGCCCCUACCCUCAAAAGAAGGGUGAACUGGGUAGGCAAUUCUUAUUCUGAACACAUUCGGCCCAUCUUUGUGUGGACUCUGGAGUUCCUUAGAGCAAUCUUGGUUGGGGGACGUGGCAUUGCAUUCCACGUGGAUCAAUGGAUUGAUUGGCAGACCAAGAAAUCACAAGCUCCGGGUGUCGGAUUAAUUUAACUCACAUGAACUGUGAGCCCAUGGUUGGCUGGGAUUUGAGUCUGGGUGACAUCCAAGAUCUGAAACCAGGGAGGGCCUGGAGAGGCAGGAAGAGAAGCGGGUCUUGUGCAGUGGCCGGCAAACUGUGUCCCGGGGGUCAGACCCAGCCUGCCACCUGUUUUUGCACAGCCUAUGAGCUAAGAAUGGUUUUUACAUUUUUUAAUGGUUGGAAACAUCAAAAGAAGAGAAUUUUCUAACAUGUAAAAAUUAAAUGAAAUUCAACUGCAGUGUCCAUCAAUGAAGUUGUCUGGGACCACAGCCAUGCCCAUCCAUUUAUGAAUGUAUUGUCUUUGCCUGGCUGCUCAGCAGCAGAGCUGAGUGGCUGUGACAGAAACCAUAUGGCUCCCAAAGCUGAACGUGUCUACCUUCUGGCUCUUUACAGAAGGAGUUCGCUUAUCCCUGCUGUCAUUCAUUUUUAUGAGAGUGUAGUCUGGUGGAGGAGGUGAACGAAAAGGGAGCUUUCUGAGUGUCACCUAAUGUGCUUUACAGCUAUGAGUCCACGUCAUCCUCACAGCAGCCAUGUGACUGAGAACUGUUAUCCUGGUUUUCCACAAGAGCAAACGGAGAAGCACCCAGUCAGAAGGGGGUGGUGCUGGGAUCUGCCCCCGGCACUGGGACCACCACGAACCAGGGCAGUGACGAUGACCAGGGAAGGGGCAGAAGCAGUGCCGAGGCAGGCAAAGAAGGUCGUGAACAGAGUAAGAUUAAGAAGCACAGAGCUGUUAAGAAAGAGCCUCCAGCCAUCGCCAGUUUGGCCUCAGUGGAUAGAGCGUCGACCUGGGGACUGAGGGGCCCCGGGUUUGAUUCUGGUCAAGGGCAUGUACCUUGGUUGCAGACUCCUGGCCCUGGUCGGGGUGCAUGCAGGAGGCAACCAAUCGACGUGUCUCUCUCACAUCCGUGUUUCUCUCUCACAUCCGUGUUUCUCUCGCCGUCUCUCCCUCUCUCUCUAAAAAUAGAAAAAUACCCUCGGGUGAGGAUUAAAAAGGAGGAGACUCCAGGUGGAGGGUGUUCCGUGGGGAAAGGGAGGGCGUUGGGAACGGUUGGUAUUUACUGAGAAUGGGAGGAGCUGAGCCCAGAAACUACAGUUGGACUGGCUCCUUGGCGUGACAGCUCUGCCUGGCGGUGCCUAGAAGACAGGCUGCUGCUGGUGCCUGGCACACCUUCACCCAGUGGGGGUCCAGUGAGGCUUGGGGUGGGGUGCAGCUCAUCCCCGGUCAGUCCGAGUAUGAAGCAUAUGCUUACUCACACUCGGUCUCCGGACGCUCCCUCUGGCACUGAGCCUGACCUCCUCAGUGGCCAUUUUCUGCUACACUGUCAGGCCUUCGUGCUGGGGGCCUGGCAGGGCAACCAGAGCCUCCUCUGUGCCAAGUACUGAAUCGGGUAUUUAUAUGUGUGUAAAGGCAUGCCCUGUUGCUGAGGGCUUGGGAAUGAAGGUCAGAGAACAAACGAGUUUAAAUCCUGGCUGUCACUUACUGUGACCUGGGGUGGGGGAGGGUGCCUCUCACCUCUGAGCCUGUUUUCUGUUUGCCCGUCUGCAGGAGGGGGAGAGUAAGAGAACCAGCCCCCCAGGUCAUGCUGAGCAUUAGGCACCGAGAAUGGCAGCUCCUAUGAUGUCUCCCUUAGUCUUCACAGCCCAUUUCACUGAUGAGGUGACAGGCUCAGAAGUUUGCCCAGGGUUGGCAGUGACCAGAUGGUGGAGCUGGACAGCCAAAGCUCAGGUUCUCUGCCCUUGACCAUGGCAAGAGAAGCCAUUCCACCUUUGUGUACCCAUGUCCUGCACAGCUUUUCCCCCCACGGUCUGAAGGGCAUGGCGUAUAGAGGAGGGGCGGAGGCUGGGGGUGCUGGAGGCAAGCGGGGACACCUCCACUCGCUGCUCAGGCCUCCAGACGAGCGCUGUGGAAGCAGCAGCAGCUGCUUGCUUUGUUGUUCCGCUCCUGCCACUGUCCACAGACACAACCAGAGGUCUCAGGUGGGGAGCAGGAGCUGGCGUGUCUCAGGCCUCUGGUUCAAGGCCAGGUUCUCUGCAGUGUGACCCGCUGGCAGUCUACGGUGGUCACAAAGCUACCUGUCCACAGCGUCUCAGCACUCUAGAGUGGCUCUUUUCUCCGACACUCACACCAAACAGCCCAGGCCUCCACCCCACACAUUCCACAGCCCAGCAAUUUACCCAGGAUUUCACGUAGGUGGUUUAGAGGUGUGUUUUUUUAAAAAAAAUCCAGUUCUGAGUCUGCCUUUAAACCAGAACAGUGUAAUUACUGAUAUUCAUGUGAGUCUAGAUCAUUGUGGGCUUUGUUUGUUCCUCCUGGUCUGUUUUUCUCCUUUACCACUUUUUCCCUACGUGUUUGGAGGUUAAAUGCUGUUUCUAUUAGUUUAGGGGUUUCCUUCUUGCCUGCUAUGAAGUCAACCUGUUCCCACUCUGAUUCUUGCCCCCAUUAUGCUCACUUCUUGCCCCUUGUCUGCUGUUCUCUUCCCCCCUUCUCUUCAUGCAUUCACUGCUGAGGUUGCAACCACCUUUUACUUACCCCAUAGGUAACACGGGGUUGGGGGGAAUUCAAGUUGCUAAGCUUCUUAGAGCCCCGAGGCCAUGAGGAUUUUCAGCUUGCACAUUGUCCCUCCUUAGGUCCUAGCCAGUGCCCUCUAACUCUAGGUGUGGUUUGUAUUUUUUUGGUUUUGUUUUUUCAUAAUUUGUUGUUGUUGUUGUUAAUCCUUAUCCCAGGAUAUUUUUCCAUUGAUUUUUAGAGAGUGGAAGGGAGGGGGAGAGACAGAGAAACAUUGCUGCGAGAGAGACACAUUGAUUAGUUGCCUCCUGCAUAUGCCCCAACCAGGGCCAACGAUCGAGCCUGCAACCUAAGUACAUGCCCUUGACCGGAAUCGGACCCGGGACCCUUCAGUCUACAGGCUAACGCUCUAUCCACUGAGCCAAAGCAGCUCGGGCUAACUCCAGAUCUUCUCUCCCACAGUCCCACCCCCACCUCACACCUUCCUGCCUUGCCCAGUUUUACUCCUUGGACUUCUCGUUAUCUGAACUCAAGUUAAAUCUGCUUACUUGUUAACUGUCUCCCACUAAGCUCCACAAGGGUAUCUUUUCACCACUGUAUCCCCAGGGUCUGAGGCUGGGCAUGGCAUACAGCAGUGAAGACAACAGGAGCGAAUAUUUGUUGAACUAAUACAGUGGUUCUCAACCUGUGGGUCGCGACCCCUUUGGCGGUCAAACGACCCUUUCACAGGGGUUGCCUAAUACCAUCCUGCAUAUCAGAUAUUUACAUGACGGUUCAUCACAGUAGCAUCAUUACAGUUAUGAAGUAGCAACGAAAAUAAUUCCACAACAUGAGGAACUGUAUUUAAAGGGCCAGACGGUUGAGAACCACUGAACUAACGGGUGAAUGCUGGCAACUCAGUCCUCCGUGGGAACAUUUACCAGUCAGUC